rnacentral:rRNA from 1 species
GAUGAACGCUGGCGGCGUGCCUAAUACAUGCGAGUCGAGCGAACGGACGAGAAGCUUGCUUUUCUGAUGUUAGCGGCGGACGGGUGGGUAACACGUGGAUAACCUACCUAUAAGACUGGGAUAACUUCGGGAAACCGGAGCUAAUACCGGAUAAUAUUUUGAACCGCAUGGUUCAAAAGUGAAAGACGGUCUUGCUGUCACUUAUAGAUGGAUCCGCGCUGCAUUAGCUAGUUGGUAAGGUAACGGCUUACCAAGGCAACGAUGCAUAGCCGACCUGAGAGGGUGAUCGGCCACACUGGAACUGAGACACGGUCCAGACUCCUACGGGAGGCAGCAGUAGGGAAUCUUCCGCAAUGGGCGAAAGCCUGACGGAGCAACGCCGCGUGAGUGAUGAAGGUCUUCGGAUCGUAAAACUCUGUUACUAGGGAAGAACAUAUGUGUAAGUAACUGUGCACAUCUUGACGGUACCUAAUCAGAAAGCCACGGCUAACUACGUG